AGCCUUUUGUAUCCGAGCUAAGACUUCGUCAGAAAUCAGCCCAUUAGGACUGAUGUAUUUCCCGAAUAAGUGAAGUG
rnacentral:pre_miRNA from 1 species